rfam:Picoides pubescens contig88120, whole genome shotgun sequence.
GCAGUUUAGGAACAGGGGAGACACCAUGAUCAGGCAGAUGGUUUUCCCAGGGUGAGGCUCAUCCUUUGCACUCCAGGUGUGCUGGCCACUGUGAUCUCCCCAAAUCUGGGAAACUCGACUGCAUAAUUUGUGGUAUGGACUGCGUUCCUGCUCUCCCUGA